AGGGGUGUGGCUUAGUGGUAGAGCACUUACCUGAGAUGCAUGAGGCCCUAAAUUCAAUCUCCAGCAUUACAA
rnacentral:tRNA from 1 species